rnacentral:rRNA from 1 species
AAUGGGGAUCGAUUUAGCCAUGCUAGUCGCACGAGUUCAGACUCGUGGCGAAUAGCUCAGUAACACGUGGCCAAACUACCCUUCGGAACACAAUACCCUCGGGAAACUGAGGCUAAUAGUGUAUACCAUACCACCACUGGAAUGAGUGGUAUGCCAAACGCUCCGGCGCCGAAGGAUGUGGCUGCGGCCGAUUAGGUAGACGGUGGGGUAACGGCCCACCGUGCCAAUAAUCGGUAUGGGUCAUGAGAGUGAGAACCCAGAGACGGAAUCUGAGACAAGAUUCCGGGCCCUACGGGGCGCAGCAGGCGCGAAACCUUUACACUGCACGACAGUGCGAUAGGGGGAUCCCAAGUGCACAGGCAUAGCGCCUGUGCUUUUCGGUACCGUAAGGUGGUACCAGAAUAAGGGCUGGGCAAGACCGGUGCCAGCCGCCGCGGUAAUACCGGCAGCCCAAGUGAUGGCCGAUCUUAUUGGGCCUAAAGCGUCCGUAGCUGGCCGCGCAAGUCCAUCGGGAAAUCCACCUGCUCAACAGGUGGGCGCCCGGUAGAAACUGCGUGGCUUGGGACCGGAAGGCGCGACGGGUACGUCCGGGGUAGGAGUGAAAUCCCGUAAUCCUGGACGGACCGCCGAUGGCGAAAGCACGUCGCGAGGACGGAUCCGACAGUGAGGGACGAAAGCCAGGGUCUCGAACCGGAUUAGA